CUAUGGGCCGCUCCAGUGGGGAAUAUUGCACAAUGGAGGAAACUCUGAUGCAGCAACGCCGCGUGGAGGAUGACACUUUUCGGAGCGUAAACUCCUUUUAUAUAGGAAGAAGAUGACGGUACUAUAUGAAUAAGCGCCGGCUAACUCCGUGCCAGCAGCCGCGGUAAUACGGAGGGCGCAAGCGUUACUCGGAAUCACUGGGCGUAAAGAGCGUGUAGGCGGAUUAAAAAGUCAGAAGUGAAAUCCUAUAGAUUAACUAUAGAACUGCUUCUGAAACUCUUAAUCUAGAAUAUGGGAGAGGUAGAUGGAAUUUCUGGUGUAGGGGUAAAAUCCGUAGAGAUCAGAAGGAAUACCGAUUGCGAAGGCGAUCUACUAGAACAUUAUUGACGCUGAGACGCGAAAGCGUGGGGAGCAAACAGGAUUAGAUACCCCGGUAGUC
rnacentral:rRNA from 1 species